rnacentral:rRNA from 1 species
AAUAUUGGUCAUGCUCGCAUGNGUGCANCUAGCUAGCUGCAUCNCAAAUCACCAAAUNGUGCUUAGUUGUGAUCAACGUAAGGUGAAAAAAAAUGAUAUUACCCUUACUAUAAGUGUUGUCUAAAUAACUGGUGCCAGAAGACUCGGUAACACCAGAAACGCGAACGUUAGUCGUCUUAAACAGGCGUAAAGGGUAAGUAGGCUGCUUUAAAGUCUAUUUUAWAUUAAGCUAAUUAUUAAUAUCCCGCUUGCUGCGGAAGCAGCUACUACAAAUUUUCAGAUCUUAAUUAACAAAUUAAGGCUAACUUAAAAUGAAAAAAGGGAAUUCUUAGUUUCUCCUUCUCUCUAACUCCUACUUACGUUUUCCUACUCCUUCGGAGCAAAGGGUGAGGGGGACUAAUAAUAUUAUUUAUUAAAAUUUAUUUAAGAAAUAGAUACACUUAAAGCUAGAAUCAUAAUUGAGAUAAACCAAAUAAUACUUAUGUGUAAGGGCGAAAUCUGAAAAUACUAAGUAGAAUACUAACGGUGAAAACUCUUUAUCUGGUAAUGAUUGACGCUGAGGUACGAAAGUGAGAACAGGGAAUAGGAUUAGAUACCCAGUUACCUCUCACCGUCAACGAUGAAUGGAAGUUGUUAGUUUAAUUAAAUUAGUGACGAUGUUAACGCGAUAUCAUUCCGCCUGAGAGUACGGUGCAUAAACUGAACCCAAAAAUAGUCGGUAUCGGAGCCAAACG